UAUCUCUCUAAGAUUCAUUUUAAUAUUGUCCACCCACCUAUGUCUUGGUCUGUAUAAGAGUAAUUCUUUUAUGAAAUGUACUUGAGUUAAGUUACAUACAUAAUAUUUUUGAGUAGGAUUGCUUUUCUGUGUUUCAGCUUCUGUCAUCAGUGUUUUCAUUCUUUUGUUAUUUAUGCGUACACUCUGAUAAUAUUUGUCAUAUUUUGAUUUCAGUGUUAUUUAAGUUCCAUUUUGAAUUAUGUUCCAAGUAUGAUUCCAGUAUUUAAUAUUAAUGUGAUGUAACAUGUAUAAUUGUUCAUUCAGUUUUUCUUUCCCUGUUCAUCAGAAUGGGACUGUUCAUAUGUGUGUGAACUUCUUACUGAGGAAUGAAAGCGGGAAACAGUUUGGCAUGGCAGUAUUUAUUGAAGGAGAACAGUAGUGUGUACAACUCCCCGUGUGUCGAGUAUCACAGGUGCCAGAGUUGGGACUGUUUUUUUCAUCUACAGUGUGGUGGAGAUAUCGACCAACACGCAUUAUCAGAAAAACAGAAGGAUGUGGUAAAAGGAAAUAAUUGUUCAUCUGAUGUCAUGCCCAUCCUCAUAAA